rnacentral:lncRNA from 1 species
GGCAGAACAGGAGGAUAUUUAUUUUAAGAUAUGCACCGGCUCAGUGGAUUCACAUCCAAAAAGCUGAGCAUUGAACAAAGACAGAGCGGGGUUUUUAUAAGCGGGCUUACAAAAGCAAAACAAAGGCAGUUAACCAUAUAGUGCAUAACUUGUGGCCUUGCAUAGCUGGUGGCCUUGUAGCUGAGACAAAAGAAAAACAAGAACUAGCUAAAUACAGACAUUUGUAAAACAUAGUUAUGCUUAAGAAGCCAGGGAAAGGAGUAACAGUAAAGGAAUUUGUCUUUCUUUUUUUUCCUUUCAACCUUGCUCUGGAGGAAGGAGUGGGUGUCUGGAGCCCAUUCCUUUGGCCUUGGCUUUUCGGACAGCCUUAUCUUAUAACUGUCCUUGAAGUGAGCUGCUAAGCAGAGGAAAACUUGCUUCUUUUCUUUUUAACCCUUGCCUUGCCUGUUACUUUUCUCGGAGUGAAUUAAUGCAUAUUUAUUUUUAAAUUUCUGCCUCAGCCCUUCUUAGACCAGAUCUCACCUUUCUUUUCUAGUAAUGCAAGUGAGAGCAACAUGUUCUUCACAGCAGCAAAGCCAUCCCUGUUCAUACAGGUUGUGGAGUUACCCUUCUCUCUGCCAAUUUGAAGGGUUGCCCAACAUUAAUCUGGGAAGGGAAAAAGGCUGCCUCCUAAUCAGAACAGUAAUGAACAUUAAUAAUCCAUUCUCCUUCAAGAGACAAAUUUAAAAAAACCCAGUAGCAAUAAACUAAAAAAAAAAAAAAAAAAAAAAAAAAAAAAGGACAAACUCAUCCUUUCCCCUCCACAUAUUUUUAGCUAACUCUUGAACCCAAGGAGGAUUUUACCAAUGGCUCUCCAGGAAUUAGAGUUGUCACACCAGUCUCCUGUUGCCAGGAAAUGAGGAGAGCUGUCCUCAUCCACAUCUGCAGUACCUAGAAUAGCCCCCUCUGGCUCUCCAGAGAUUGAUUCAUUAGGCAGGGUUGUGUUUAGGUGACGCCCACAAACGAGAACAUUCAUAGCAGCCAUCAUUUCUCAGUGAAUGCGGUCCUGUAAAUGCUGGCGAUCUUGUAGCAGUGCUGAUUAGCGAGUUGCUCCAACACCUCCUCAUAAUUUUUUCCUGCUCAUCACUCACCUGCUUUGUCAAAAUGAACAAGAAGGAAGCAUGAUUGAGCUGUGCACCGAGGCGGCAAGGAAGCCCUGGAUGACCCUCUUAACAGAGGCUGCCAAGGCUCCAGCGCCCACUUUCUCAGCCUCCCUUGCUGCUCAGGAUGAAAUAUGUAGAGCUGGAGAAGAGACAUGGUUAGUCCUUACGUCCUGCCUUAAAUGAUGAUGUGAUGGCCAUUAUCUGGAUCCUUCAUGGAAUUUCGGCAGUUCCAACGUGUCAGGCCAGUGUCUGGGAUUCUCUCAGCCUUUCGCUUUUUCCCCUGGGAGUCGGACAGCUGCUGCAGCUCAGUCAGACCAAACCUCUCUGAAUACCACCAAGAAUCGGGUCAGUUUCGCAUCUCCUUGAUCAUAAUUUUUUCUGCAGCUGGUUUGUUUGAAUCAGAAUUAUAUUACAUUUUUGGUCAUUUUAAACAAUAUUGGACAUCUUAAACUCUAGACUUUUUUUUGUUUUUGAGACGGAGUUUCAAAAAACUCAGGCUGUAGUGCAAUGGCAUGAUCUUGGCUCACCGCAACCUCCACCUCUCGGGUUCAAGUGAUUCUCC